UAAAAUAUUUACUACCACAUAAGGUCCAAAUCAAUGCUUUGAUAAUUUUUACAAGGCACUAUGUUGGUUAUCUAAAUUGUUAUCAUAAACAAGUAUCUAAUCACCUUCAUGAAUUCCUUGUAGCCUUAAUCGGUGCCACUUAUUAAAUUUGUCCUUAUUUUUUAAACGUGCCUCUUCUAACUUCACAAUUAUUUUUCCUAUGUCCUUAGAUCUCCUCUUUAGUUGACAAAUUUAAAGUAUAAGAAGUUCUUCUCUAGAUAUUUUA
rnacentral:lncRNA from 1 species